GUGCAACAGAGCAAGGCCCUGUCUCUAAAAAUAUGUAUAAUAAUAACAAUAAUAAUAAUGAUUAUGCUAAUAAUGAUACAUCAAGAUCAAAUAGGGAAUCCUUGGAAUACUAGGGUGGUUCAAUAUAAUAAAACAUAUUGUUGCUAUAAUUUACCAUAUUCAUAGAAAAGUCAUUUCCUUUGCUCAGUCUAUUAAUAAAAGACAUUUGGUAAAGUAUAUCCAUUUGUGAUUUUUGAAAAACAGUUAAGGAAGCAGGAAUCAAAACUUUCCUAUUUUGGCAAAGGUUAUAAUCCAAAAAAUCUGUAACCACUAGUAUACAUAACGGAAAAACCUUGGGUAUCCAAGACAAGAAUGUUCACUAUAAUUACUAGCUUAUCAUAGCACUAAAGCCUAUGGGCAACAUAACAAGACCCCAUUUACCAAAAAUAAAUUUAAAACAUUUUAAUUAGCUGGCAUGGUGGCAUGCACCUGUAGUCCUACCUACUUGGGAGGCCAAGGCAGGAAGAUUGCUUGAGCCCAGGAGUUUGAGCUUACUGUGAGCUGUGAUCACACCACUGCACUCCAGCCUGGGUGACAAAGGAAGACCGUAUUUCUAAAAAAUAAAAAAUACAAAUACAACUACAAACUAGCACUAGACCAACAGUGACUAUGUACCAUGAACUGAGGAAUAUUAUUAAUUCCACCAUUUGCAUCUGAGGUUAACAAUAUGUCAAUGACUUAAAUAACAUCAUAUCUCUGAGAGUAAUUUCUCCUAUAUUUCCAUG
rnacentral:lncRNA from 1 species